rnacentral:rRNA from 1 species
GACGAACGCUGGCGGCGUGCCUAAUACAUGCAAGUCGAACGCAGUGGGGACGGGUGCGUAACACGUGGGUAACCUCCCAUCAGAGGGGAGAACACUUGGAAACAGGUGCUAAACCGCUACUGAAGGAUGGACCCGCGGUGCAUUAGCUAGUGGGUGGGGUAACGGCUUACCAAGGCGACGAUGCAUAGCGGAGCUGAGAGGGGGAUCGGCCACACUGGGACUGAGACACGGCCCAGACUCCUACGGGAGGCAGCAGUAGGGAAUCUUCGACAAUGGACGAAAGUCUGAUGGAGCAACGCCGCGUGAGUGAAGAAGGUUUUCGGAUCGUAAAACUCUGUUGUGGGGGAAGCGGUAUCUAACCAGAAAGCCACGGCUAACUACGUGCCAGCAGCCGCGGUAAUAC